CCCUUGGCGGGCCGGCCGCCCCGGACGAGCGCGUCGUACCCGGUGACGACAAGACGGCGCAGU
rnacentral:ncRNA from 1 species